rnacentral:rRNA from 1 species
CACGCCGUAAACGAUGAGUACUAGGGGUAGGGGGUAUCGACCCCCUCUGUCCCGAAGCUAACGCGAUAAGUACUCCGCCUGGGGACUACGGCCGCAAGGCUAAAACUCAAAGGAAUUGACGGGGGCCCGCACAAGCAGCGGAGCGUGUGGUUUAAUUCGAUGACACGCGAAGAACCUCACCCAGGUUUGACAUGCAUGUGGUACCGAUGUGAAAGCUGAGGGACCCUUCGGGGAGCAUGCACAGGUGU